rnacentral:lncRNA from 1 species
UCGCGCACUAAAGAAAUACUAAAAAUCCGGUUGAUUUGCUGGAAGAAGAGAAAAAAAAGUGUAGUCAACAGAAAAAUAAAAAAUAUUUUGUAUUUGGUUGGAAUUAUGACAACAACUUUUUCAUAUUUUAUAAAAAAGAAUAUCAGAAAAUCCAAUUCCACUGAUAGGAAUUGAGAUUUUUUUUCUUUAAAAGUAUUUUAAGUUUUAUAAAAUGGAAUAAGAUCUUGCCCUUUAUUAAGACGUCUUUUCUAGAAAAAUAAACACUUAACUAAACUGCUAUGAAAUCUGCUAUUUUUCUAUGAUUAACGAAAUAUGUAAAAAUUAUUUUUUCAAGCAUUAUAUAAUCAGCUUUUCAGAAAAAAUAUUUCGGUGAAAGAAGAAAUUCUUUGAAACGAGUAUGCAAAAAUUACUCUUAUAGUUAUCAUAGUAAAAUUCUCCCCACAAACCAAGCCCUAAGGUAAAGGAAUCAAAAAAUCGGUGAGGAUCGGACCUGCUUCAGCUUUCCUAUGGCCUC